rnacentral:lncRNA from 1 species
GUUGCGUUUAACUAUCUUAAUAUUAUCUUUAGGGAGUUAGGAGAGUAGUGGACACCUUCGUCGGCGCAAACGAAGGGUUACGAGGAGUCUUGGUGGGUUUGACCUCAUCGAAAUAAGAAAAACUCAACCUAUGUCAAUUUUUAAUUGUCGUAAAAUAGAAAUGCAUGCAUAUUCAUGCUAGAUAGAGCCUAUGAGAAUUUUAGAAUGCUUAAUAUACAUAUGCUACAUUUUAUGAAAAUUACCUCUAUAUAUGCCAUGCCCAGUGACCCAGCGGAAGCCCACCCGGUUCGUGUUCAGACCCGCUAUAUACCUACAACAUAUAAGGCGUCUACAACAAAGCGAUAAAUAAAACAACAAUAAAUAAGCAUCUAUAAGUAUCAGAGCAUACAACCACUAGAUUCUAGAAUAAAGAAAGAUAUAUAUAAGAACUAAUCCACUAACAUAAACAUAAGGUACUACAACAUAAAAACCCAAAAUACAAGUGCUAAAGGUAUCAUAGUGGUGGUCUCUAUACAUGGAUACAAAACUCUCACUCUCUACAUAGAUACAAAAAUAGAGAGGUGAGCCACCUAAAAGCGAUGCUCCUCGCAACUAACUAGAGGCAACUCCCUUGCCGCGAUCCCUAACCUCUUCCGGCGUGAAAGGCUCUGAAAGAAAACAAUAAAACAGGGGGCGUGAGAACUAUUAAACAUUAGUUCCCAGUGGGCAAUUGCUGACCUCAGCGAAAAUGCACCACUAGGCUAAAAGCAAAAGUAUUAAGUUCUAACAAUUAACUAAAAGAAAUAACAUGAAUAUUUAACAUAAAUUGAACUUACUAAAUACUAUGCCUCUAUUUUAGUAUGAAUUUCCGCGAUUAUAAAUUCUAUUCUAACAUGAAUAUGCAUAAGUAAAACCAACAUAAUGUCCACAAUGUAACUAGUAAAUGUCAUUGUUUACUAAUUUGUCUAAUGUCCACUUUGCAUUUUAGUUCAUUAGUAUCUCAAUCAUGUAGGACCUAUCCGUGGGUAGUCUGGCUUGCGCCGUGCCUAAUGAUCCCGUGGUAGUCAACAUUCCCACCCUAGGAAUGAGCCUCCUCGAAACCCUUCGUUCGCGCCGACAAAGGUGCCCACACGUCUCCUAGCUCUCUAGAGAAGAUUCUAGGAGGGUUAGACAAAACAAACAAACAACCCAUGUGUUCAACUCAAAAUCAACCCAAGAAUAAGGCAAAUUAGAAAAACCCUCUUAAAUUCCAAAAGGAGGCUAGAUCACUUCAAAUCUACCCCAACGAGUUAUUCUACAUCUAUCAAUUAAGCCCCAUGGGCUACAAAUCAAAAAUUUUCAAAAUAAACCCUAAAUUUCACAUUCUAGGUUUUGAUCUCAAGAAAUCCAUCAAAACAUGAAUCUAAUGAAAGAAACAUGUUACUAACCUCUUUAGAAGCUCCACACAAGGUUAGAAAUCAACUAGGGUUGAAGUUCUCUCCUCGAACAAGCUCCAAACCCUGCUCCAAUGCUUCUCCAAUUGUGGAAAAUCACCCAAAAAGCUAAAAAAGAGAUAAAGAGGUGAUCAAUCAUCUAAAAAUCUAAGAAAAAGAGAAGAAAAUCAAAAAGGAGAAGUGGAGGGGUCACAAACUUGGUUCUCCUCUAUUCUGAGCUCAGGGAGCCCUAGAAGGGGCGUGGGAUGCUUUAUAGGAUUACCACAAUAGCAAAAACACCCCUCAAAAAUAGCAGUCUGCGAACUGCACUGUGUACCGGUACACGAAAAAGAGUACCGGUACCAAGCCACUGUACGUGCAAACCCGAGCCUCGGGUUCACAGAAAAACACACUGGGUACUGGUACAAGUCCGAUGCUGUACCGAUACCAGGUCUGGUUCCGGUACAGGACCAAUGCUGUACCGGUUCUCUGCUCUACAGAGUCCAACCCGAGAGCAGCCAACAAUCUUCACUUUAGAGACUUUGAUACUAAGUUUUAAACCUCGAUUCUCGAAAUGUGAGCCAUAGGUCGGAACAUUGUCAACGAUCCUCUAGAAAGUGUGGAAAAGCUCAGAAUACAAAUCAAACACUCGAACCUUGCAAUUUGCAAAGGUCCAGUGUAUUACAUUCUCCUAUCCUAAAAAGAAGUUUCGUUCGCGAAACUAAAAGCAAGACACCUCAAGGCUCCAUCUGAAAAAUAGGGGAUAGCGCUCCUGCAGUGCGCUCUCCAACUCCCACGUGGCCUCGCGUUCAUUGUGGUUGCUCCAAAAAAUCUUCACAUAUGGAAUAUCGCAAUUCCGAAACUUCUUCACCUCGCGAGCCAAAAUCCUUACCGAUUGCUCUUCAAAGUUCAAAUCCUCUCUCAGCUCUAAUGGUGUAACAUCCAAAACAUGAGCCGGAUCGAAGAUAUACUUCCGAAGAACCGAUACCUAAAAAUUAUUGUGUAUACUCGAUAGGUUCGGUGGUAGAGCACGUCGAUACGCUAGCGGGUCUACGCGCUCCAAAAUCUCAUAGGGUCUAAUAAACUGGGGGUUCAACUUUUCCGGAAUGCCAAAUCUUCUAAUUCCUUUGGUCGGCGAGACUUUCAAGAAAACAUGGUCUCCAACUUGGAACUCCAAGUCUCGUCGACGCCUAUCGGCAUCACUCCUCUGUCUACUCUGAGCUGUCAACAAAUGCUCUCGAGCAAUACGAACCUUAUCCUCAGCUUCCUGUAGCACAUCUGGGCCUAGCUAAUCUCUCGCCAACUUCACUCCAAUGAAGUUGCGAUCUACACUUCCGUCCAUAAAGUGCUUCGAAGGGUGCCAUCUUGAUGCUUGCUUGAUAACUAUUGUUAUAAGCAAACUCUGCCAUCAGUAGAUGCUGUGACCAUCCUCCCUAGAAGUCUAUCACACAUGCUCGAAGCAUAUCCUCUAGUGUCUGUAUAGUGCGCUCAGACUAUCCAUCACUCUGAGGGUGAAAUGCGGUGCUGAAAUCCAAGCGAGUGCCUAAGGCGUCCUGCAGACUCCUCCAAAAGUGAGACACAAAUCGAGGGUCUCGAUCAGACACAAUAGAAGUAGGCACUCCAUGAAGUCGCACAAUCUCAUCAAGGUACACCUAUGCCAGCUUCUCCCAUGUCCAAGUCGUGUGAAUAUGUAUAAAAUGCGCCGAUUUCGUCAACCUAUCCACGAUCACCCAAAUAGCAUCAUGCCCGGCCUGUGAGGGAGGCAAUCCCAUAACGAAAUCCAUGGUGAUCUUUUUCUAUUUCCACACGGGAAUAGGUAAACUCUGAAGUUUUCCCGUGGGAACUCGGUGUUCAGCUUUCACUUGUUGGCAAGUCAAACAUCGAGCUACAAACUCGCCAACAUCCUUUUUCAUUCCGGGCCACCAAUAAAGUAGUUUCAAAUCCUUAUAUAUCUUGGUGCCUCCCGGAUGUAAAGCAUAUGGUGCACGAUGUGCUUCUUGAAGAAUAUCCUCUUUAAGUGCCGAUUUCACCGGUACACAAAUCCGUCUGCGGAAACGCAUUAUUCUUUGAUCAUCCACAAGGAAAUCACCGGUGUAACCAUCAACCAUUUUAGCUUGAAUCUUUUGCAACUCCACAUCGUGAGCUUGCUUUUCUUUAAUUCUUCCCAAUAGUGUAGGUUGCACCACUAAUGUCAUCAAUCUCAAGGGUGUAUUAGGAGCCACCACCUCCAACUCCAACCGCUUUAUUUGCUCAAUCAACUGCGGUUGAGUGACUACAAGCAUCGCUAAGUUUUCCGUCGAUUUCUAACUUAGCGCGUCCGCAACCACGUUUGCUUUGCCCGGGUGGUAGAGAAUCGUUAGAUCAUAAUCCUUAAGUAGCUCCAACCAUCUGCGCUGCCUCAAGUUCAACUCCUUCUGAGUAAAUAAGUAUUUUAAGCUCUUUUGAUCCGUAUAAACUUCACAUCGCUCGCCAUAAAGAUAAUGACGCCACAGCUUUAAUGCAAAGACUACGGCCGCCAAUUUCAAAUCGUGUGUAGGGUAGUUCCUUUCAUAAUCUUUUAAUUGGCGAGAAGCAUACGCGAUGACCUCCCGUCCUACAUCAAAACACAGCCCAAUCCAUUAAAGGAAGCAUCACUGUAAAUCACAUACCUUACUCCAGCGACUGGCAGGGUCAAGAUCGGGGCAGUCGUCAAUCGAGCCUUCAACUCUUAGAAGCUUCUCUCGCACGUAUCAUUCCAAAUGAACUUAGUGCCUUUGUGCGUGAGCCGCGUGAGAGGAGUAGAUAACUUAGCAAACCCCUCAACAAAUCUCCGGUAGUAGCCAGCCAAACCAAUGAAACUUUGUAUCUCGGUGACGCUAGUCGGUCGAGGCUAAUCCUUGAUAGCUUCAAUAUUCCUAGGAUCCACAGCUAUAUCCGAUCCCGAAAUCAGAUGUCCAAGGAAUGCCACCUCUCGAAGCCAAAACUCACAUUUCUUCAACUUAGCAAACAGUUUCUUUUCCCGAAGCAUUUGAAGUACUAGCCUUAAAUGCUCCUCGUAAUCCCUAUCACUUCGGGAAUAAAUCAAGAUGUCGUCGAUGAACACCACGACGAACCUGUCUAGAUAAGGCUUGAAAACAAGGUUCAUUAGGUCCAUAAAAGCUGCCGGGGCAUUAGUAAGCCCAAACGGCAUAACCGUGAACUCAUAAUGUUCAUACCGUGUUCUAAAAGCAGUCUUCGAUACAUCCCCAGGUGCAAUCUUUAACUGGUGGUAUCCCGACUGCAAGUCUAUCUUGGAAUACACACUCGAUUCUUGAAGUUGAUCAAAAAGAUCAUCAAUUCUCGGCAACGGAUACUUGUUCUUGAUCGUGACUUUAUUAAGUUCACGAUAGUCCACACACAAGCGAAGUGAUCCGUCCUUCUUCUUAACAAAUAAAAUCGGUACUCCCCAAGGUGAAAUACUCAAGCGAAUAAAACCUUUAUCAAGAAGAUCCUGUAGUUUGUGCCCUCAGCUCUUUCAACUCUGCCGGUGCCAUCCUAUAGGGCGCCUUUGAGAUUGGAGUAGUCCCAGGGACAAGAUCUACCACAAACUCAAUCUCCCUAUCAGGUAGCAUACCUGGAAGCUCCGCUGAAACACAUCACAAAACUCCCGUACUACCAGCAUAUCCUCAAUCCUAGGGGUGUCAUCCUCACCCCUCAGCACAACACUAGCCAAAUAGGCUAAGCAACCCCUGUUGAUCAACUGCCUAGCUUGAGACGAGCUGAUCGUCAUCACAAACAGCAAACUCUGGCAUCCUCUAAACACUACCUCCAUCUUCCUCGGUUAUCUAAAUGUAACCGUUCGAUUCUUACAAUCGAUAGUGGCGAAAUACUUAGUUAACCAAUCCAUGCCCAAAACCACAUCAAACUCUCCAAGUUUGUGUAGAGCUAGUAGAUCCAUGGGCAUGAUCAAAUCUCCUACCCGAACAAGGCAACUGGGGCAAAACUCUCGAAUAUCCAAAGAAUGGUCGGGGACUGCAAUACGUCCCGGAUGCAACAAGGAAACUAACGGGAUGCCAUACAACUCGGCAAACAACCGAUCUAUAAAUGAAUACGAUGCACCGGUAUCAAAUAAAGCUUGAACUCUAAUGCCAUUUAAUAAAAUGUUACCUGCCACCAUAUUCUCGGCUGCUGCCGCCUUCUCUGUCUGGGCCGCAUACAUGUCCCCGCUCGGAGCCUGUUGUGACCCCUCGAUCUGUCGCUGGAUGGGUGGUCGCCCAGGCUGGUACUGUGCCGAUGGAGUCUCCUGACUAGAUGCUGGUAAUGCCGGUGCCGAUGUAGAUGACGAUGCCGAUGACGAACCCCUCGGGCACUCGAUCCGGAAGUGGCCAUCCUGGCCACAAAGGAAACACCGGUCACCCCGCUGUGGACACUGCAGUGGGAUGUGAGGACUACCACAGAUCACGCACUGGAAAGGUCAGCGACGAUCAGGUCCUCCUCGCAGCGCCGACGAGCCGCGCCCUCGCGACUAGCUCCUAGGGUGCUUCGGCGGCCUCAUAGAGUGCAUUUGACUCGCACCCUUAACCGUGGGCCUCUUGCCCUUACACUUAUCCAAACCUUCUCUCCGCUCCUGAAUAUCCGCCGCGCCGCUCUCCACAAUGAGCGCGCGGUUCAUCACCUCCCGAUAGGUUUGGAGGUUGGAGGAUUGCACAAACCGAAAGAUCGACGGUUGCAAUCCACGCUAAAAAAUGCGGGCCUUGUCCUCGUUGUCUAGCAUGACGAAAAGCACGCAGUGAAAAAGCCGAGAGAACUCCAUCUCGUACUCGGCCACUGUCCUGUCCCCCUGGCGCAAGCCGCGCAUAUCCUGCUCCAUCUUUCUCUUAACACUAUCAGGAAAGUAGUGCUCCAAUAGAAGUUCCUUGAACCUCCUCCAAGUAAUCGCGGUCUGUGUUCGGGUUGUCUUGAAUAUCCAACCACCAACGAUAGGCCUCGCCGUCCAAGUGAUGAGUGGCGAGCCAAACUCGGUCUUUCUCCUCCACAAAGUAUCGCAGAAAAGCUUUUCCAUGUGCAUCAACCACUUCUCCACGAUCCAGUGGUCGGUUUUCUCUCCGUCGAAGAUCCUGGGAUUGCACCUCCUGAACUCAUUGAGGCGAUCCAUGAGCCGGUCCCACUCCUCUCCAGCAGCCAUCACGGGAAAAAUUGCCCGCGCUGGAGGCACAUGAACUGGUGGUGCCACAACGUCCUCCUCCCGAGGCGCAACUACGAGUGCCGCUCAUGAUGAACCGAGUGGGGGAGAUGGCGCCCUCGGUGCAACGUCGUCAACUGGCAUAGGUGGUGGGGGAAUCUGGGCCUCCCUGGAAGCUACCUAUUGCAGAAGAAAAUCUUCGAGGCGCUUCAUCCGCGCCUCCUGCCGGCGCGCCGCAUCGGCUUGCUAUCUGGCCACCUCCGCCUGCUGCGUCACCAAGUCAGUGAGGGCCGGCUGCGUCACCAAGUCAGUGAGGGCCGCAAGCUGGCUCCUCAACUCACAGACCUCACCAGAUCCGGAGGUAACGGAGGUCUUCACCUCCUCAAAGUUUGCCGCAUUAUCCACUCCAACUGAUUUAGAGCGAGUUUUCGACAUAUUACUACAACAUCAUAAAAGUGCAAGUUAGUAAAACCCACGCAAUCGCAACCCCACUCAAGCCAAUAAUACCCAAAUCAUGCGAAAUGCCAAAGUAAGGAAGCGUUUUUUACUACUAACUCCCGAUGUUACGUUGUCGGCCGCCAACGUAACCCUCCGCGAAGUUAGAAGCUAUACACUUCGAUUCAACUCCAAUAUUUUUAGAGUUAUCAUAAACCCAAUCAUAAUACUUUCGCUUACAAGUCAAAUAGACCUCGUCUCUCACGAGCCUAUUUUCUAUAAUCCAACCGGUCUAAGGUUUGCUAGGUCCAUUAAGACUUAACCCUAGGCUCUGAUACCAAAAUAAUCUGUCACGCCCCGGGACCUAGCGAAAGCCCGCCCGGUGCGUGUCCAGACCCGCCAUAUGCCUACAACAUAUAAGGCGUCUACAACAAAGCGAUAAAUAAAACAAUAAUAAAAGAGCAUCUAUGAGUAUCAGAGCAUACAACCACUAGCUUCUAGAAUAAAGAUGGAUAUAUAUAAGAACUAAUCCACUAACAUAAACAUAAGGUAGUACAACAUAAAAAUCCAAAAUACAAGUGCUAAAGGUAUCAUAGUGGUGGUCUCUAUACAUGGAUACAAAACUCUCACUCUCUACAUAGAUACAAAAAUAAAGAGAUGAACCACCUAAAAGCGAUGCUCCUCGCAACUAACUAGAGGCAACUCCCUUGCCGCGAUCCCGAGCCUCUUCCGGCGUGGAAGGCUUUGAAAGAAAACAACAAAAUAUGAGACGUGAGAACUAUUAAACAAUAGUUUCCAGUGGGCAAUUGCUGACCUAGCGAAAAUGCACCACUAGGCUAAAAGCAAAAGUAGUAAGUUCUAACAAUUAAUUGAAAGGAAUAACAUGAAUAUUUAACAUGAAUUGAACUUACUAAAUACUAUACCUCUACUUUAGCAUGAAUUUUCGCGAUUAUAAAUGCUAUUUUAAUAUAAAUAUGCAUAAGUAAAACCAACAUGACGCCCACAAUGUAACUACUAAAUGUCAUUGUUUACUAAUUUGUCUAAUGUCCACUUUGCAUUUUAGUUCAUUAGUAUCCCAAUCAUGUAGGACCUAUCCGUGGGUAGUCCGGCUUGUGCUGUGCCUAAUGGCCCCAUGUUAGUCAACAUUACCACCCAAGGAAUGAGCCUCUCCCACGGUAUCCCAUUUCGGCGCUCAAUCCCGCACGGGCGAGCUUAUGUCGCGAUGGCUAUUUCCGGAGUGCCGGCUUGUGGAGAGCGACCCUCACAAGCAUGUGCGAAUGAGCACAAUUGCAAGCAAGCGUAAAUAUCCGUCUCAAGUCCAAUGUCAUCAUGUCUAAAACAUGGUAUAAGCACUAGUGACCACAAAGGUGUAGUUCUAUGUCACAAUGUAGAGUUCAAUCCAUUUACUCAUCUAAUGCCACUUCAUGACAUUAGGUUUACUAUAUCAAACAUAAUCCAAGUCUAAUGCCCCUUUAUAACAUUAUGUUUUCUCCUAUGUCAAACAUAAGUUCUAAGUCCGAUAGCAUAUCAUACAUGUCAUUUUCACUACAUGAACCAUGAGAUAUAGAAGAAUGCUAUCCAUUGCAUAAUCACAAUGCACUAAUCUCU